AAUAAAUAGCAUUUCGUGAUAGAGAAGAACAGGAGGCAUUAGGGGGUCCCCUACUUUAGAGAGGGAGAGUCAAGAGAAGGCUGUCCCUUUAAGGAUCUGACAUUUUAGCAGAAACUGGAGGGUGUCUCACCCUCUGCCCGGGGUUCAGGUUCCUCUGAACCUGCCUCUGUCAGGUUCAUCUGCCUGGGGAAAAAGGGAGAGCAAGAGUGAGGACAAGCUGAAUGGUGGACUGAAUGAGCAAGGAGGAAAGGAGAAUAAGACGAGACAGAACCAGUUUGUGGGGAGUAGGACGUGCCCAUCAUAUUUAAUCAUGGCUCUCCUGUUUACCCCUUCCUGCUCCUCCCGGCCUCUCUCCCAUGGCUUUGCAUCUGAUGGAGUCAAUAUGGAGCACACGGGUGCCACCUUGCCAGGAGUGCGAUCGAUGGGUUUAUCUCUGAACACAAAGAUGAUAUCUGCAUGGAUUUUGUCAGACAAAGCAUCGCUCUAUUUGGGAAAGAUCUAGGAAUGAGAUGGCCAGGUCAUGCCUGACCAGAGGGAUUCAAUCCAAGGGAUAAAACUAAGAAGCCACUUAGGGGACGGUGAGAUAAUCCAGAGAUUCGAAUAGCAAGAAGACACCACCACCCAAAAGGAAGAACCCGCAAUUAAUCAUGGAGCUCUAUGGACAGGAGCUGGCUGCCCAUGGCAGGGAAGACUCAAACUGAAAUCUCAGCUGUUCUUUCAUCUUGAGUCAGCUGACCUUCAGACUGAAAAUACACUAACAAUUUUCUGGGUCUUUGGCCAACUGAUUCAUCCUGCAGAUUUUGAGACUUGCCAAUCUCUGUUACUGUGGGAGCCAAUUCCUUGUAAUGCAUCACUUUCUCUAUAUACAUACAUCCUACUGGUUUUGUUUCUCUGGAGAACCCUGACUGAUAUAAUUGGUAAUUAGCUACUAUUCCCAACUCCUUGAGUGCCCCCUACUCCCAUCCCUCUAGCCUGCCUUGCCCUGCAUUCGAGAUUCACCCAUCUGCCCAUGAUUCAGCAACUGAGGGACAAAACUGGCCAUGCAAGGGGGCCUUCAGGUCCACACUGAGUGUCCCUUGCACUGUCAUCUGUGCUUCUCUUAUGGCCCUGCCGAUGGACUCAGCAAAGCUUCGGUGGGCUCUGAUGAGGCCCACCCUAGCAUCCACUGGCCGCUUCACCAGCUCACCGAGGCUGCAAUGUGCCACCUGCCACCCUCAGGGGACCCAGUGGAAACACAGUACCCAUGGCAGUGCCAGUGGCAAAUGCUCAUUAGUACUGGUUGUUAAAUAUUUUGAACACUACACCUGAGAUUAAGACAUAUUUUUAAGGUAGGAGCAACAGG